ensembl:lncRNA
AUCUGUAUGUGUACAGGUGUGCCUUUGUCUAUUGGUGCAUGCAUGUAUGUGUGCAGCUGUGUCCAUGUAUGUAUGUGCACCUGUGUAGGUGCACCUGUGUGCCCUUGUCCAUGGAGUGUGCAUGCAAGUAUAUGCAUAUGUAUCUGUGUAUAUACAUAACCUGUGCCUUUGUGGAUGUGUGCAUGCAUGUGUACAUAUGUAUGCCUGUGUGCAUGUGUGUGUGUACAGGGCCGUUCUGGAGCUUGCAUUUAGUUUGCCGUCUUCCAAGUGUUUGUAGAAAGCUUUGUCCUUCCUCAGCCAUUUUAGGGACCAGAGUCUUGGCCCUUCUGGUUUCCUGACAUUCCCCAAGAAGAGGCCUCCUUGAACUUUCCCCGAAGCAUGGCGAGAGAGUUAUCUAGGGGAAAGGAGAAGAAGGAGGGAACUCUGGAAGGGACUGGAGACACAGCAAGGGAUAAAAGUUGGUCCCAGGAGCUGUCUGUCUGGCAGAAGGAGAAAGGUGUGAACAGACUGGCACACUCACCUCACAACCGCAACCCCUCAGAUGGGAGUGGUGGGCAGUGCUGAGCCAUGUCCUCUAUGGGACGCACACUGAGCUUGGAUCAUCCCGUGCUCAUGUGGGAAGACAUUCAUUUCUUAUGACUAUUUGCAAAUCACUGAAUACCAGUGCUUUGCAAAUCAAGAAUUAAUGUAUACUAUUAUAGCUUUAAGAGAACUUUUAAUCAUUAUAAAAUAAUGUAUGCUUACUAGAAAAUAUUUUGGAAGAUGCAAUAAUAUUUUAAAAAUGAGAAAAAGAAACAGAAUAACAGCAAUGGCCACUGUAAUGCACCCAUUCCUUCCAGGAUUUCCUCUAAAUGUAUUUUAAAGGAUGACCUUAUGGCUUAUUAAAUUUCAUAUUCUUGUUUUUCUGACUUCUGGUAUUAUAUGAAUUUUCUCUACUCUUAAAGAUUCUUUGGAAGCAGGAUUUUAAAUGUCUGGAUCUAUUCCAUGAUUCACUCAUACUUUAUUGGUUUACAAUUUUCACUGUUAUAAAUGGAGCUUUGAUAUUGUUUAUGAACCAAAUGUGUUUUAAUCAGAAAUUUUUUAGCCAAAGUAUAGGAUUGUUUUUACAGGUCUGUGGUGAAUAGCAUCACAUUAUUUUGCAGAAAGGUUAACCCAAUUUAUCUUCCACCCCUGUGCCCUCUGUACACUCACCAAGCCACACUAGG